CUCAUGUAGCCUAGACUAGCUUCAAACUUGCUAUGUACUGACGUUGGCUAAUCUUGAGACUGUCACUGCACUUGGCUCAGUUUAUUUACUAAAAUGUAACUUUUGAACUUUUACACACAUGGCAGCUUUUUUUCUUCUCCCCUAGACAGGGUUUCUCUGUAUAACAUCCCUAGCUGUCCUGGAACUCACUAUGUAGACCAAGCUGGCCUCAAAGUCACAGAUAUAUAUAUACCAGCUUGGCAAAUAUAUAUUUGAAUAUAUGAAUAUACAACUUUAGAGUGUUUGGAGACAUGGAUCAGCAGUUAAGAACAUUUGCCUGUAACUCUAAGUCCAGAGGAUCUGAUGUCCUCCCUCUUCCGACCUCUGUGGACACUGAAACCACUCACUCACACAUACAUUUAUAUAUAUGUAUAUUACAUAAUCACAUACAUAUAUAUAUAUAAUACACACAUACACACACACACACACUCUAGGUACAAAAAGCAGAAAAGCUUGUGAAUUGUGUAAAUCUAAGCUGGGACACACACACACUCUAGGUACAAAAAGCAGAAAAGCUUGUGAAUUGUGUAAAUCUAAGCUGGGGAAAGCUGGUACCCCAAGGCUUCACUGAUGUUAGUGUAGUGUUUCUUGGGCAGGUCUCCUGGGGUCAGGAAGGGUUGCUGAGUAGAGUCUUGUAAGAUCCAGGCUCAGCUAGAGCUCUUGAAUGACAGUACAUUGAAUAAAGUUUUUUUUUUUUUUCUCUUUUGAGUUGGAACCCUGCUUUGUUACCCAGGAAGGCCCUGAAUUUCUGGGCUUGAGAAAUCCACCUGCCUGUUUCCAGACUAGCUGGGACUAUAGAUGUGUGUCACUUGGGUCGACUUAAUAGAACAUUAAUUGCCAAAAGACAAUGAAUCGCAAGCACAGCCGUAUGCAUGCUCCACAGGCAAACACAGACUUCUGUCCUUCCUCUCUGCUCAUGUUCCCCGGCUUCUCUGGUGAAAGCAAGCUCAUCUGUUUGACAUCAAAUCCUACUUUCCUCUUCCAGAAUUCAUCCAGUCUCCGACCACACCUCCUCAGUCUUGUGAGUUUUGCCUCUGUUCUGUUAAUCUGAUUAUUCUGGUGAUGUCCUUUUUUUUUGUUUUUGUUUUGUUUUUUCGAGACAGGUUUCUCUCUAGGGCCCUGGUUGUCCUAGAACUCACUCUGUAGACCAGGCUGGCCU
rnacentral:lncRNA from 1 species